UCUGGGUGAAGGUAUACUCAGUCUGGCCUGCCCGCUGACGUUGUUGAAGAGCCGCGGUAUCUAUGACCGUGCGAAGGUAGCAUAAUCAGUUGUCUUUUAAUUGAAGGCUGGUAUGAAUGGUUGAACGAGAAGUUAGCUGUCUCUUCAAUGUAAAUUGAACUUUACCUUUAAGUGAAAAGGCUUAAAUUUUACGGGGGGACGACAAGACCCUAUAAAGCUUUACAGCUACUUGGCACGGCCUCGAAAUGUGGUAUAAAGGGGGCGUGUGCUUGGGCUGUUGCGUUGGGGCGACGAGAAUAUAACUUAGUAACUGUUCUUAGAAUAAAACGGCUGUGGCCGGUUGAUAUGACCCCUUAUUAGGGAUCACAAGAUUAAGUUACUUUAGGGAUAACAGCGUUAUUUCCUUCGAGAGCUCAUAUCGACAAGGUAAGUUGCGACCUCGAUGUUGAAUUAAGGUUUCAUCCUGGUUGUAGGAGCUGGGAUUGUGGGUCUGUUCGACCUUUAAAACC
rnacentral:rRNA from 1 species